CAGGGUCAAACUGCAGUGUUGAGGCAUGGAAGGGCCCAGGCAUGCACUGACGUGGAAGAAUAGCGCAGGCAACGGCACGGCAGCUUGUGGCGUUAUGAAAGCCAGGCUGUAAGCUGUCUGUGGCAGGCACCCAUUUUUCAUUAUUUGUGCAGGUACUGCCAAGACCGCAGGCUGUUUCUAGAACCCCCAGGUAUGUGCUGAGGCCAGGCAGGAGGGACUCACCAUGAACAGGAGUCAAUUCCCUGGGGGAGAAAAAGAAUUUUGAAGGAAAAAAAAAGGAGUGCCAACCAAGACCUUGCCCAUCGUGGGGAGCAGGCACAGGCACUCGUCAGCUGUUUGUGGGCAUGGCUGUGAGAGAGAGCAGCAGGAGAGCUAGCCCCAGCAGCAAAGUCCAUGUGCUGCUGGUGUCCAGGGAAGUGCCCCGGCAAGGUCCCCUCCACCUUCCACUGGGCUCACAGCAGAACCAGAGACUUCUGUCUGUGUGAAUGAGUUCACAUUUUUUCAGGUGGACUGAAGUGAUUCAUGGCCCUGGGGGGAAUUUGGUGACUAUUUUCUUGUCUUUUAAAGGAAAAAGGGAAUUAGAAGAAUUCAUAUUUUCUUAUGGUAAGAUUUCUGCUUUGAAUUUUUUCAUCUAAUGAGUGAUAUAGCUAUAAGAAGGCAAACUGAUUUUUAAAGGACUCAGAAGAAACUCAGAAUGAAAUUUAACAUAUAACUGUGUCAAGUAAAAAACUUUGAUAGGGUUUGAAAAAUUUUCCAUGGGUUUUCAUUUAAUAGCUUUAAAUAAUGUUUUUACUUAGACCCAGAUCUUCCUUUUCUCACUGAUUUUUUGGUUCAGCCAGUUUACACUGGAGGGUCAGUCCUUCCUGGUGACAACUCUUUUCACUGAAUGCUACAAAGACCAGUCUGUGCUGAGUUCACCAGAUCCCCAAACCAUGUUUUUAGCCAGAAGGAAGCCUUACCUCUGCCCUAUGAGUACGCCUUUUUCUAUCACUACAAGUAUAGGCUGAAGGGAUAUGUGAGGAAAAGAAGGUGGAGAAGCAGAAGGCAAAUGGUAUCCUGGGAUGAGCAGUUUAUACUAGUGAGAGCUCCUUGGAUCUCUUGUCCAGUGCAUGUGGGCAAGGAAAAGGGUGGGAAUUAAUUUAACAGGAGCUACAAAAUAAUAACAAUAAAAAAUCAACAGUAAAGCUCUCCAAAAUCUCCUGAUCUCUUAGGAAAGUAAACCCACAGCCUAGUGAGCUUUAUCUCUAAAUGCACAUUUGAGUAGCCUGACUUCUCAGAGAUGGCUGUAAACAGCUUUUAGUGAUGACAUUUAAAUGGGAAGAACUGGAGGGAAAAGGGCCUUUGCUUGCCUUCCCUUCCUUGAUUGUCAUACCUCAUAAAGGGUUAAUGAACCACCGGCCAGCUGCCAUGCCCCUGUAAGCACCCUGCUCUCCUCUUGGCCGCCAGCUGAUCCCCUCACCAAGCCACCAAGGUGAGAGUUCACACACAGAGGUGGAUGAGGUUAAAGAUAAUAAGAGUCUAAACAUCCACAGGGAGUUCAGCUCAUGUACAAAGUCAUAAUUACAUAAGCCAUUACCAUUGCCCGGGUGAAAAGAAAUCACUGCAAGCAGGGGCAGAAAACAUUUGCAAAGACAGGCUUAAGAAGCAAGGAUGGAAAAUAUCAGCCUUUCUCCAGUGGAUGCACUGUAGCUUUAGCAAGGCUAUAAAAUGAGAAUUGUUUGGUUAUUCAAGUAGAAACCUGUUAAAUGGAUAACCUUGUUGCAACAAUUUCCAAUUUUUUUAGCAGGUCUUUUCUUUCAACAGGUAUUGAUGCAAGCAGCCUCUGCUAUUUUUAUCAAAUGCAUUUUAGAACCACAGAAAAUGCCACUGAGGAUUUAAACCCGGAGUAAGCUACCGACGCAGUGUUUGUAGUACACUGCUUGCUGCUUUCACAAGUUGGACAAACCUCAUACAUUAUGGGCCAAAUUAUGCCCUUGGAUGAGUAUGCCUGAUUCCCACUGCUGUCAAUGUGGCUGUCAUAGAAAUCUGUGGGAGACCAGCUUGCGCAUCCAAAGAGGAAUCUAGCCUAAAAUCUAUUGUGCUCAUAUUCCUUGUUACUUAGAUAUUUCUCAUGUCUGCCUAACUCUCUUUUUUGUCAAGAUAAAAUAAACACAUUUAAAGAUAUUCUUAGGAAAAAAA